GUCGAUUACUUUUCGUAAAAAUCCUUCUCUGCCUGUGUAGGGGAGGUAUGAUGUUGCUAAUGUAAUAGAACGAAAAUGGUGAGCUACUCCGACUCUAUAUGGAUUGACCUAUGUACUAUACUAUUUAGCAACAAAUUAAGGGUGCAUAUGAGAGUUCAGAAACACUUUAUGUGACACUCUAUGCUAUGAGCUUGGAGAAAAUAAUCAUCUUAACUUUCAAAAGUGUGCCGACUCUAAUACGGAGAUCUUUGUUGGAUAGUUCUGAGCCUUUGGUGACUAAUAUUGCUGGUUGUACAUGUUCGUGUGCUUAUGUCAUUCUCUUGAGGUAUUUAUGCAACCAGCUUGAUCGGCUUGAGAGAAUUACGAUGUUGAUUGGUAUUUGAAGAUUCAAUCUUCUGAAUUGGCACGUUCUGUUUUCUGAAAGAUGGAAAUGGAAGUAGAAGGGCGCGUGCUGCGGAAGGGGAAAAGUGUGAUAGUAACUUCGGUGGAGUUCAGGAUAAAGGAAACCGGGCGGCUGUCGUACACCUCGCGCUUGACUUUCUAUGUGAUGCCCGUCGCGAGUAUGUGAGCUCUUAUUUUUCACAAAAAGACAAAACUGUUGAAACAAUUCCCGUUGUACAAAUCAUAACAUGGCCAGCCAUAUUACUAGGUCAUGAUUGUCGUAAUUGAAUCACAUUUAGAAUUUAAACUUUGCGUUUGCGCAUUACGUGGUUCAGUGAUUCUGAAUAUGAAUAUGUAGUGGAAAUAUGUAAUCUUCUCUGUUUGUUGGCAAGGAAGAGGAAAUAGAGGUGACGGUGAUCGCCGUCGCCGGUAAGUUUGAUCGACGAAA